GAAAAUGAUUAAUAAGAGCUUCUAACUCUUAAAAUUGCAAUAACUUGUAACAUUUUUC
rnacentral:tRNA from 1 species